rnacentral:rRNA from 1 species
GUGGCGGACGGGUGAGUAAUGUCUGGGAAACUGCCUGAUGGAGGGGGAUAACUACUGGAAACGGUAGCUAAUACCGCAUAACGUCGCAAGACCAAAGAGGGGGACCUUCGGGCCUCUUGCCAUCGGAUGUGCCCAGAUGGGAUUAGCUUGUUGGUGGGGUAACGGCUCACCAAGGCGACGAUCCCUAGCUGGUCUGAGAGGAUGACCAGCCACACUGGAACUGAGACACGGUCCAGACUCCUACGGGAGGCAGCAGUGGGGAAUAUUGCACAAUGGGCGCAAGCCUGAUGCAGCCAUGCCGCGUGUAUGAAGAAGGCCUUCGGGUUGUAAAGUACUUUCAGCGGGGAGGAAGGGAGUAAAGUUAAUACCUUUGCUCAUUGACGUUACCCGCAGAAGAAGCACCGGCUAACUCCGUGCCAGCAGCCGCGGUAAUAC